GAUGAACGCUGGCGGCGCGCCUAACACAUGCAAGUCGAACGAGCGAGAGAGAGCUUGCUUUCUCGAGCGAGUGGCGAACGGGUGAGUAACGCGUGAGGAACCUGCCUCAAAGAGGGGGACAACAGUUGGAAACGACUGCUAAUACCGCAUAAGCCCACGACCCGGCAUCGGGUUGAGGGAAAAGGAGCAAUCCGCUUUGAGAUGGCCUCGCGUCCGAUUAGCUAGUUGGUGAGGUAACGGCCCACCAAGGCGACGAUCGGUAGCCGGACUGAGAGGUUGAACGGCCACAUUGGGACUGAGACACGGCCCAG
rnacentral:rRNA from 1 species